rnacentral:rRNA from 1 species
CCACAUUGGGACUGAGACACGGCCCAGACUCCUACGGGAGGCAGCAGUGGGGAAUAUUGCACAAUGGGGGAAACCCUGAUGCAGCGACGCCGCGUGGAGGAAGAAGGUCUUCGGAUUGUAAACUCCUGUUGUUGAGGAAGAUAAUGACGGUACUCAACAAGGAAGUGACGGCUAACUACGUGCCAGCAGCCGCGGUAAAACGUAGGUCACAAGCGUUGUCCGGAAUUACUGGGUGUAAAGGGAGCGCAGGCGGGAAGACAAGUUGGAAGUGAAAUCUAUGGGCUCAACCCAUAAACUGCUUUCAAAACUGUUUUUCUUGAGUAGUGCAGAGGUAGGCGGAAUUCCCGGUGUAGCGGUGGAAUGCGUAGAUAUCGGGAGGAACACCAGUGGCGAAGGCGGCCUACUGGGCACCAACUGACGCUGAGGCUCGAAAGUGUGGGUAGCAAACAGGAUUAGAUACCCUGGUAGUCCACACCGUAAACGAUGAUUACUAGGUGUUGGAGGAUUGACCCCUUCAGUGCCGCAGUUAACACAAUAAGUAAUCCACCUGGGGAGUACGACCGCAAGGUUGAAACUCAAAGGAAUUGACGGGGGCCCGCACAAGCAGUGGAGUAUGUGGUUUAAUUCGACGCAACGCGAAGAACCUUACCAAGUCUUGACAUCCCUUGACGAACAUAGAAAUAUGUUUUCUCUUCGGAGCAAGGAGACAGGUGGUGCAUGGUUGUCGUCAGCUCGUGUCGUGAGAUGUUGGGUUAAGUCC